rnacentral:rRNA from 1 species
UACGGGGGGAGCAAGCGUUGUUCGGAUUUACUGGCGUAAAGGGCGCGUAGGCGGUCAGCACAAGUCAGUUGUGAAAUCUCCGGGCUUAACUCGGAAAGGUCAACUGAUACUGUGCGACUAGAGUGCAGAAGGGGCAACUGGAAUUCUCGGUGUAGCGGUGAAAUGCGUAGAUAUCGAGAGGAACACCUGCGGCGAAGGCGGGUGCUGGGCUGACACUGACGCUGAUGCGCGAAAGCCAGGGAGCGAACGGG